CUAGCAGAAUACAUAAUCGUUACGGCAAUUGUUGAUGUCGAGCAUAGAAACUAUCAUGGACAUACAGCACUCGACCUUCUUAAUCAAGCAAGAGUCACCGGUGAAACUGAGCAUAUUAGAGCUUUGUUGAAAUCUGGCUAUCCUUAUAGCUCUAUAACAUCACAACUUUCAUCAGAGGUCGAGACUUCGACUUCUCAGAAUGUGACAAUUGGAUCCAGAUAUGCAUCUGAUCAAAAAUUUGAGAAGCCACCUACGUUUAUGACGAAUAUGGGGAAUGAUGUUGGCAACAAAACCAACAAUCAGCAUGUGAUCAAUGAUGAACUUGAUGAAACCACUGCUGAAGCUGAUGCUCUCUCUCAAUCUGAAGAAAUCCAGGAUGAUAAAUAUGAACAAGGAUCCUCAUCAGAAAGAACAGAAUUGCAUCAUCAACGCAAGUAUCUAAGCAAGAGACACAGGAAAGAACAGAGGGAGCUCCACAGAAAUCGUCGAAAUAGACAAUAUGACACACAUAGGGAGGGACUACAAAAUGCUCGAAACACAAUCAUACUAGUAGCCAUUCUGAUAGCCACAGUUACUUUUACUGUUGGUUUGAAUCCCCCUGGGGGUUUCUAUCAGCAGGGAACGCUAAUAGGCCAGUCAACAGUUGGUAGAAAUUUGGCUUUUAAGAUCUUCGCUAUGAGCAACAGCAUUGCAUUGUUCACAUCUCUGUGCAUUGUAAUUAUUCUAGUGAGCAUCAUCCCCUUCGAGAGAAGAAAACUAAUGAGGCUAAUGGUGAUCACUCACAAGGUCAUGUGGGUGGCUUUGUCUUUCAUGGCAACAGCUUUUGUUGCAGCCUCAUGGGUGAUCUUGCCAAAUGAUCGCAAAACAAGAUGGAUGCUUGAGACUAUAUUGACUAUUGGUGCUGGAAGCAUGGUAACUGUGUUUAUCUAUCUGGGAGUUCAGUUAGCUAGACACUGGUUGAGGAAGCAGAAAUGGAAGAAACAGAGAGGCAAGAAGAGCAGAAUUGUUGCUGUCAACAAGGAAUUGAAAUUACAACCUUCUAAAACCUUGAUUACAAAACAAAUCGAACCUUAUCCAGUGCUAUUCAACAAUCAAUCAGACUCAUCCAACUCUGAUGUUGAAAGUGCAAAAUCCUUUGGGUAUCACACCUACUAAUGGUGAAAUCUGCUUGUUCCUGAUCUGCCCAAUAAUUUCAGAAAUAAAUUGUCCUUUUUUUUUUUUGAAAAAAAAGGACAAUUU
rnacentral:misc_RNA from 1 species